rnacentral:misc_RNA from 1 species
GAUGAAGAACGUAGCGAAAUGCGAUAAGUAAUGUGAAUUGCAGAAUUCAGUGAAUCAUCGAAUCUUUGAACGCACAUUGCGCCCGUCAGUAUUCUGGCGGGCAUGCCUGUUCGAGCGUCAUUACGCCCCUCAAGUCCCCUGUGGACUUGGUGUUGGGGAUCGGCGAGGCUGGUUUUCCAGCACAGCCGUCCCUUAAAGUAAUUGGCGGUCUCGCCGUGGCCCUCCUCUGCGCAGUAGUAAAACACUCGCAACAGGAGCCCGGCGCGGUCCACUGCCGUAAAACCCCCCAACUUUUUAUAGUUGACCUCGAAUCAGGUAGGACUACCCGCUGAACUUAAGCAUAUCAAUAAGCGGAGGA